rnacentral:ncRNA from 1 species
AGUUUUACCCGUCUGAGACAGGUUAUUUUACCUACUAAUGACAAAACGGUGUUCGACAGCAUUCCUGCGUAGUGCGAGAGGAACCGCAGGUACGGACCAAUGGCACAAUACUUGUUCGAGCGAACAGUGGUAAGACGCUACGUCCGUUGGAUUAUGCCUGAACGCCUCUAAGGUCGUAUCCGUGCUGGACUGCAAUGAAUAAAUAAGGGGCAAUUUGCAUUGUAUGGCUUCUAAACCAUUAAAAGUUUUUAAUUUGUUUUAUUAACGACAAUGGAUGUGAUGCCAAUGUUAUUUAUAACAUAGUAAAUUGGGAGGAUCUUCGAUCACCUGAUGCCGCGCUAGUUAUAUUUUAAAACAUUAUUUAAUACAAUGUCAAAGCCUAGAAUCAAUUGUAAACGACUUUUGUAACAGGCAAGGUGUUGUAAGUGGUUGAGCAGCUGCCAUACUGCGAUCCACUGAAGCUUAUCCUUUGCUUGAUGAUUCGA